AAAUUGAAGAGUUUGAUCAUGGCUCAGAUUGAACGCUGGCGGCAGGCCUAACACAUGCAAGUCGAGCGGUAGCACAGAGAGCUUGCUCUCGGGUGACGAGCGGCGGACGGGUGAGUAAUGUCUGGGAAACUGCCUGAUGGAGGGGGAUAACUACUGGAAACGGUAGCUAAUACCGCAUAAUGUCGCAAGACCAAAGUGGGGGACCUUCGGGCCUCAUGCCAUCAGAUGUGCCCAGAUGGGAUUAGCUAGUAGGUGGGGUAACGGCUCACCUAGGCGACGAUCCCUAGCUGGUCUGAGAGGAUGACCAGCCACACUGGAACUGAGACACGGUCCAGACUCCUACGGGAGGCAGCAGUGGGGAAUAUUGCACAAUGGGCGCAAGCCUGAUGCAGCCAUGCCGCGUGUGUGAAGAAGGCCUUCGGGUUGUAAAGCACUUUCAGCGGGGAGGAAGGCGAUAAGGUUAAUAACCUUGUCGAUUGACGUUACCCGCAGAAGAAGCACCGGCUAACUCCGUGCCAGCAGCCGCGGUAAUACGGAGGGUGCAAGCGUUAAUCGGAAUUACUGGGCGUAAAGCGCACGCAGGCGGUCUGUCAAGUCGGAUGUGAAAUCCCCGGGCUCAACCUGGGAACUGCAUUCGAAACUGGCAGGCUAGAGUCUUGUAGAGGGGGGUGGAAUUCCAGGUGUAGCGGUGAAAUGCGUAGAGAUCUGGAGGAAUACCGGUGGCGAAGGCGGCCCCCUGGACAAAGACUGACGCUCAGGUGCGAAAGCGUGGGGAGCAAACAGGAUUAGAUACCCUGGUAGUCCACGCCGUAAACGAUGUCGAUUUGGAGGUUGUGCCCUUGAGGCGUGGCUUCCGGAGCUAACGCGUUAAAUCGACCGCCUGGGGAGUACGGCCGCAAGGUUAAAACUCAAAUGAAUUGACGGGGGCCCGCACAAGCGGUGGAGCAUGUGGUUUAAUUCGAUGCAACGCGAAGAACCUUACCUGGUCUUGACAUCCACAGAACUUUCCAGAGAUGGAUUGGUGCCUUCGGGAACUGUGAGACAGGUGCUGCAUGGCUGUCGUCAGCUCGUGUUGUGAAAUGUUGGGUUAAGUCCCGCAACGAGCGCAACCCUUAUCCUUUGUUGCCAGCGGUUAGGCCGGGAACUCAAAGGAGACUGCCAGUGAUAAACUGGAGGAAGGUGGGGAUGACGUCAAGUCAUCAUGGCCCUUACGACCAGGGCUACACACGUGCUACAAUGGCAUAUACAAAGAGAAGCGACCUCGCGAGAGCAAGCGGACCUCAUAAAGUAUGUCGUAGUCCGGAUUGGAGUCUGCAACUCGACUCCAUGAAGUCGGAAUCGCUAGUAAUCGUAGAUCAGAAUGCUACGGUGAAUACGUUCCCGGGCCUUGUACACACCGCCCGUCACACCAUGGGAGUGGGUUGCAAAAGAAGUAGGUAGCUUAACCUUCGGGAGGGCGCUUACCACUUUGUGAUUCAUGACUGGGGUGAAGUCGUAACAAGGUAACCGUAGGGGAACCUGCGGUUGGAUCACCUCCUUA
rnacentral:rRNA from 1 species